GUGGGGAACACCUAUGGAUGCACCAGAGUGCAACUACUCAGACCCCAGUGUGCAGAAGGGCCCUGGCUCCAUGCCGUUUCCAUAUCCAAGCCCAAGCUCAUCUAGAGCUUCAGCAAAUCCAAGCCUCCCUGAAUUCCCUGCAAGACCAAACUGAGCCCUACAACUCCCACUACACUGGUUAGCUGCCAGCCCCAGCCUCUGCUCCUUCCUGGGCCCCUGUCGGCACAGUUCUGAAGUCCUACAAGAAUGUUGAGAUCCUAAGCCGACUCUCACCCAAGAGGUAAACAACCAGGGGCCUCCAGGGGUAGAGAACAUACCCAGACAGGUUCUGCUGCCUGUAGGCUUCAUGUCCUUCCCCUACAACACGCCAUGCUUGCCAGGCUGGAAGAGGGGCUCCAGAAACUUGGAAACCUGGGCCUGUAGCUGGCAUAUGGAAAAGAGGCCUGGAAAAGCACCACUCCUGUCCAUGAAGCCCCCAGAGAGACACUAGGUGUGGGCAGGUUCCAGUGGUUGCUGUAGCUGAACCUUCCCAACCAGGUCCAUGCAAGGCCAUCUCAGAUGGGUGCUGGGCUAUGCUGGCUUCAUCUUAUCUGUGUGAUGGGGGUAGGGUGGGAAUUACCAAGAGACCAACACACAGGCCAUGGACAAGUUCUACAAGAGCCAGGGUCCUGUUCAGAAACCCCAUCUGUGCCUUUGGAGAGACUGCCCCGAGCACACAGGCCCAGCAACCGCCAUCUAUGGCCCCCAGGACCUAAUCCCUUCUACAUAGGGUUCCUUCAGCCUUGCAGGACAACUAUGCACAUCUGGCAGCAGUAGCCGGAGGGCCCAUGGAAAGAAGUUGGAGGUGAAACCAGAUGCUGUGAAAAUAUUAGGCAAAACUGCAUACUAUAAAAGUGCUUUAAAAUGCAGCAGGAGGAGAGGUGAAGACACAAAUGAAUAAGUGCUUAGAGACACAUGGCUGUCAGAACAGUUAAGAAUCCACGCUGCUUCCCCCCUUUACCUAGAAAAGGAAAAUUCUAGGCCACCUCCUCCUCAGCAUACUCCUCAAACUCCUCCUCCUCAGCCGUGGCAUCCUGAUAUUGCUGAUAUUCAGACACCAGGUCGUUCAUGUUGCUCUCGGCCUCGGUGAAUUCCAUCUCUUCCAUGCCCUCGCCCGUGUACCAAUGGAGGAAGGCCUUGCGCCUGAACAUUGCUGUAAACUGCUCUGAGACACGCUUGAAGAGUUCCUGGAUGGCCGUAUUAUUCCCAAUGAAGGAACAGCAAGAGGACCUUGUGCAUGAAUAAUUUGUUUCCAUACUACAGAAAGAAUCCCAGACUUCUUAGAGAACCCAGUGACUUUUUGCACCUUAAAUCUGUGAAAUCCUCAUGUUUUCUUCUGCCGUAUCCAUAGUUCAAACAAAGAUGAGGCAAAGCUAGACGCAUUCCUGAAGGAACCCAAGAAAUUCCUCUCUUUCUCUCUCUGGAAUGAAAUGAAUUCUCUAGACCACCAGUUCUAACCUUCAAAAACCAAACCUGUUUGUGAGCUGUCCUUCAAAUACUACUGUAGACCCCAGUGUUUAUUCAUUAAAUUUUUUAAAUAUUUGUUUUAUUUGGAAUCAAAGUAUUUGUAAUUUUAGUAUUUGUAUUAAUAUCAGGGAGAAAUGUUUAAAUCUGUCUAUGCCAUAUGUGCCUCUGGCUUAUUGCCCAAUUAAUUGUAGCCUCAGGCUAAACUUUGGUUUCUGUCUUUAAUUUUUGUCAGAAGAAAUAUAACUGAUCUCAAAACA
rnacentral:lncRNA from 1 species